GUGACGAUGGCGACGGGUGACCUCGAUGAUCAUGAAGCGCUCAAGAUGGCCACUCUCCCUUCCAUGGAUCUGGACACGCUUCCCCUGCUCGAGGCUUCUUGGUCACCAGCAUCCCCGGAAGAGGUUCAUGUCUACUCCUCAGGGAGGCCAUAGACUGUACGUGUUGAACGGUUGGGGCCUCUCACAGGUUUGAGGGAGGACCCCCUCUUAGGGACUUGAAGAUGGAAGAGCUUGAAGAUGGAAGAGGAAAACGUUGUCGCGUUAUUGUUGUUGUUGUUGUUGUGGCGGUGGUUGUAGGGACAUGCAAAGCACUCCCUCCUCCAUUGACUUUUCGUAUUUCCAUUGUAUCGGGUUGUGAUUGGUUUUUUUCAUGAUUAAACAGUGAUUGAUUGAA